rnacentral:lncRNA from 1 species
AAUGUGGCAAUGUUUAAAGCAUGCAAGGGACAACCGACUCCAAUGUCGUGCCUGAGGGGGAUGUGGAAGUUCAACCAUCGGUCGUAGAGGGUGACCUAGAACAAGGCAGCGGUAAGAAACGGGCAUGGGAGGCUACAAGCUCAAAGAUCAUUGCGAAAAUGGAAAUUGCCUUGACAGGACAACCUGGAGGUAUGAGAUAUUUCAAGCAUAUUUAGACAAGCUGCAAUGAAAUUUACGAAAAGGAAAGGGCCGGAGUCAAAAGUGGAAGAGAAUUCAUGAAAUCGUUGAAUCAACCUUGCAAGAACCUUUUGUGGUUGGUCUUG